rnacentral:SRP_RNA from 1 species
GCCGCAACAAUGAGGCAUGAGCCACCUGGAGGAUCUUAACUUGAAUACCUAUGGAAAG